GUUUUUCUAGAACCACCUUGCCAUUCAAACCCUGCCCAACUGCUGGACCAUAAAGGGAGCCAGAGAUUUAGGCUAACAAAGGUUGCUGUUGAUAGAAGCAGAGUGGGGAAGAGGAAUAAAAAAUGCAAGUGGAAAAACAGGAAUCUAGACUUACAGAUAAAAACUUCCCCCAAGAUCUAAAGAUUUCUGUUUUAGUUGAAAACUGCACUCAUAGUGGCGUGAUCUCGGCUCGCUACAACCUCCACCUCCCAGCAGCCUGCCUUGGCCUCCCAAAGUGCCGAGAUUGCAGCCUCUGCCCGGCCGCCACCCCGUCUGGGAAGUGAGGAGCGCCUCUUCCCGGCCGCCAUCCCAUCUGGGAAGUGAGGAGCGUCUCUGCCCGGCCACCCAUCGUCUGAGAUGUGGGGAGCACCUCUGCCCUGCCGCCCCGUCCAGGAUGUGAGGAGCGUCUCUGCCCGGCCGCCCCGUCUGAGAAGUGAGGAGCCCCUCCGCCCGGCAGCCGCCCGGUCUGAGAAGUGAGGAGCCCCUCCGCCCAGCAGCCACCCCGUCUGGGAAGUGAGGAGCGUCUCUGCCCGGCAGCCGCCCCGUCCGGGAGGGAGGUGGGGGGGUCAGCCCCCCGCCCGGCCAGCCGCCCCGUCCAGGAGAACCUGUCUUGGAGGUUGGCCCUCAUACCAAUGUCUGGACUGUCUGAGCAGAAAGCCAUCUGCUGGCACUGCCCAUCCCACAUCAGAGCCUCGAUACCCCCUGGAACUCCCUCAAAUAACCACGUCCUAUUUCUCAAAUUGGAAUGCUUUAGGAAGCUAUCCUCAAACAAUAAAAACAGGCUGCUUCCUGCUGUCCCCUUACUUUCCCUCAGAGCAGUGGUUUGCAAAUUGUGUUACAAGGAAACCUAGAUUUCCCAGAAUGCCUGAUUUGACUUCAAUGAAUGCUCUCAGGUUGAUAAAAGAUUGUCAUUUGCAUCUUUAGACCUUGUUAUCAAAAUCUUCUUGUUCAUCAAUAUAGGCUCAUGAAAUUAACUUUGAUAAUAAUUGUUAUACGUUAAAAUGUAUAAAUUUAUACAUUUUAAAUCUACAGUAUCUACUGUUUAUGUUAUAAUCUUUUUUUUUUUUUUUUUUUUUUUUUGAGACUGAGUCUCGCUCUAUCACCCAGGCUGGAGUGCAGUGGCACGAUCUCUGCUCACUGCA
rnacentral:lncRNA from 1 species